rnacentral:rRNA from 1 species
AUUGAACGCUGGCGGCAUGCCUUACACAUGCAAGUCGAACGGCAGCACGGGUGCUUGCACCUGGUGGCGAGUGGCGAACGGGUGAGUAAUAUAUCGGAACGUACCUUAUUGUGGGGGAUAACGCAGCGAAAGCUGUGCUAAUACCGCAUAAUCCCUAAGGGGGAAAGCGGGGGACCGUAAGGCCUCGCGCAAUUAGAGCGGCCGAUACCUGAUUAGCUAGUUGGUGAGGUAAAGGCUCACCAAGGCAACGAUCAGUAGCUGGUCUGAGAGGACGAUCAGCCACACUGGGACUGAGACACGGCCCAGACUCCUACGGGAGGCAGCAGUGGGGAAUUUUGGACAAUGGGGGCAACCCUGAUCCAGCAAUGCCGCGUGAGUGAAGAAGGCCUUCGGGUUGUAAAGCUCUUUUGUCAGGGAAGAAACAGCAGCUCUAACACAGUUUGCGAAUGACGGUACCUGAAGAAUAAGCACCGGGUAACUACGUGCCAGCCGCCGCUGUAA